CAGGCGAGAAGCAGCCGCGUCCACAUGGCUUCAGGUGUUCACAUGGCAGUAAACGGGCCCCUGCUCUCCUGGGCGCCCCAGCGCGGCGCCCUCCCGCCCACAUCCCGGCCCAGCCCCGCUGGCCUCGCCUCCAGCCCGUAGCCAAGAGGCGAGCGCGGCCGGUGCCCCCGGGGCUGCCAGGGGCCCCGAAGCAGGCGGCGCUGACUCCCGGACGCCGCCCGCUCACACCCGCCGCCUUUGCACCCAAGGCCUCGCGCGACCAGCAGAUGGGGCCACUGAGGUGCAAAGAGUUUAACUUAUCCCAAGUCACACAGUUUGGAAGAGGCUGAGCUGGUAUUUGAACCCAGGUUUUCAGAGGCUGCACUCUUAACCACCAAGCUUCCCAGCACUCAGCAAACACUGGAAAGACAGAGAUGGACCUAGACAGUCAGUAGGACCAAAAGUCUGCAGGCCGAUAGGGAAAGAAUGUAAGAGG
rnacentral:lncRNA from 1 species